UGAUCGAAGCUAGGGAGACGUGUCUCCCUAGAACCACACCAUAAUUACUUUGUCAACAUACUAAUAUUAAAACUUUCAACAACGGAUCUCUUGGUUCUCGCAUCGAUGAAGAACGCAGCGAAAUGCGAUAAGUAAUAUGAAUUGCAGACUUUGUGAAUCAUCGAAUCUUUGAACGCACAUUGCGCCUUGUGGUAUUCCACAAGGCAUGCUUGUUUGAGCGUCAGACCCUCUCUAACAAUUUGUUAGGCAUUGGGAGCGCACCGCACUCCCUAAAAACUACGCAGUAUGUCUAGGAUUACCCAUCAUACGCGCGCCAACUUAUGACCUCAAAUCAAGUAGGACUACCCGCUGAACUUAAGCAUAUCAAUAAGCGGAGGA
rnacentral:rRNA from 1 species